AYUAUUGGACUUUACUUUUAAAAACAAUUAUCGGAAAACGCAUAAACCUAGCUGUUCGUAUGGAUUUGGAGUGUGGAGUAUUUCUUCCAAAGUAUUCAAUCAAGAACUUGGCUACAUGGAUCGCUUUGGUUUUUCGAUCGAUUCAAUCGUUCUUCCCAUCUCAGCUCUCGAUUAUAUGACGGGCUACUACAGAACACGAGGGAAACACAAUAGUACUUGUCUCCAAAAUAAGUACAACUACAGAGAACUAAGCAAUURACCACACAACAGGGAAUUUGAGGGACAGACCCAGAAAUUUCCCUAAAGGAAAUAGUUGGGCAGCCUAUGGAUUGCCUGAGUAGUGCAUGCUGUCCUAAUCAGAAAGCCAGGGGAGCACAGGAGAUUGGGGCAAGUGAAGAGGAAUAAAA